GGGGAAGGAGGCCAGUGCUGCCAGGGGUUAUCUCCCGACCUCAGAUGCUGGAGGAGUCCAAGGAGGCAGAGUUGCUGCGGGAUGACAUUCAGAAAGGCUGGAGUGAUUAUUUGGGAGAGAAAAGCCUGCCUAUUCUUGCCAAG
rfam:Otolemur garnettii contig016744, whole genome shotgun sequence.